UAUGUUUUAGUGUAGGAUGCACAAAAGUUUUUGAUACUUUUAGAGAUAGUUUAACUCUAUCAAAUAUAA
rnacentral:tRNA from 1 species